rnacentral:lncRNA from 1 species
AUCGAAAUUUUAAAACUUUCAAUGAUCAUUGGCUGUGUUUCAAACUUUCUUAUCUAUAUAGUCAUUAGUGAAAAACUCAGAUAUACUUUGAAAAAGAUGUUAUAAUACAGAGAACAUUAGGAAAUACAUGAGGUAACAUUUGAGAUGCAAAUUAAAAGAUGAAUUUAAAACAAGAAGAAUUAAAAAGAGGAUAGCGGACAUAUAAUGUUAUUUUAUUUUUGUCAGAGAAAUGCUGAAGCAUGAUGUGUUUAACGUGAGGGUACCCAAAUUGCACCUUUUUGACAAUUUGUUCACCGAAGUGUAUUUAUGAUCCAAACAAAAAGUUUCCAUUCUGUGUUUAUUUUGUCGAUGUAUUCUUAGUUACUAUAUGGUCCCACCAAUUUAAUUUUGAAUCCAUAUUGAAACAUACCUCCAAACUGUCCAUGAUUCUAUAAUGAGGAGUACCCAAAUUGCAUCCAUGCAUAAAUUCACAUCCUUAUAAAUCGAUUAACAGAUGGUUUGUUUAUUUCUUCAAAUAUUUAGAAC